GUGUGGCCAAGUUCUCACUGUUCUUAAGAUCCUUAACUGGGCAUUUCCUGACUUUUGAUUUUUCACCCUUUAAACAAUUUUGCAUUAAUGAGUCAGUAUGAAAUAACAAAGUUAAAUAUUGAGUGAAAAAUGCUAUACACACAUUGGAAUUGAACAAUGAGAACACAUGGACACAGGAAGGGGAACAUCACACACCGGGGCAUGUUGUUAAUCAACUUCUUAAGAAUGAAAGAAACCAUGUUUAUAUCCUGGUGGGUUUGUCAUAAAUAGCUCUUAUUAUUUUGAGAUAAACAUUCCGUCAAUACCUAGUUUAUUGAGAGUUUUUAGCAUGAACGGCUGUUGAAUUUUGUCAAAGGCCUUUUCUGCAUCUAUUGAGAUAAUAAUGUGGUUUUUGUCAUUGGUUCUGUUUAUAUGCCGGAUUAAAUUUAUUGAUUUGCAUAUGUUGAACCAGCCUUGCGUCCCAGGGAUGAAGCUGACCAGAUCGUGGUGGAUAAGCUUUUUGAUGUGCUGCUGGAUUCGGUUUGCCAGUAUUUUAUUGAGGAUUUUUGCAUCGAUGUUCAUCAGGGAUAUUGGUCUAAAAUUCUCUUUUUUUGUUGUGUCUCUGCCAGGCUUUGGUAUCAGGAUGAUGCUGGCCUCAUAAAAUGAGUUAGGGAGGAUUCCCUCUUUUUCUAUUGAUUGGAAUAGUUUCAGAAAGAAUGGUACCAGCGACUCUUUGUACCUCUGGUAGAAUUCAGCUGUGAAUCCAUCUGGUCCUGGACAUUUUUUUUAUUGGUAGGCUAUUAAUUAUUGCCUCAAUUUCAGAGCCUGUUAUUGGUCUAUUCAG
rnacentral:lncRNA from 10 species